CCACCAUUAACAAUGAGCCUUCUCCCACCUGCCAGGAGAGCGGUUCCAGUUCCCCGUUUCCCCCAGACCCAAUGCUGCCAAUCAAGCACUAAUUGGUGUUAAUGAUCAGCCUGUGCUGGCUGCUUCCCUGGGCUGGCUGCUUUGGGGAACAGCAGUGAGGGUCUCUGUGAUGGAGUUCCAUGGUCAAACCGUGCUGCUGUGGGGUAUGGCAUUGCUGUGGUCUCACUGUGGGAAUCAGAACCUUUGGGGAAGGUUUGGUCUGAUGGCAAAGCAUCUGGGUGUGCUGCAGCAUCUCAGCACUGCUUGUGUGGCGAUGAGGAGGAUUACGUACCUGAACAUGAGUGCCAAGAUCUCUUUCUGAGCCUCUAAUACCUUUCUUGGCAUAGGCACAGUGAUAAAGUAAACCUUGCAGUCCUUCUGUAGCUACCUCCAGAAGGAAGCUGAAAUAUGUUCUCCUCCUGUUCUUAGCUUGGGAGUUUACAGCAGGAAACCUACGAUGGGACAUUGCAGAACUGCCCGUGUGUUUCCCAGUGAUGCAUGCAGACCAUGAGGCUGGGACUUGAUUUCAGGCUCCGGAUCUGCUCCUGCUGUAUGGGGACAACUUAAUUUGUUCUCCAGGCUUUUAAUGAAUGCUAAUAAUGCUGCAGCCUACCCAUGAGUAAUUCUGUACAUCGGUUUUCUGCUGCCCUAGGAAUAAAUCAGAAUUGUGUUAUUUCCUUGAAAAAGUACUUUUGGG
ensembl:lncRNA